rnacentral:misc_RNA from 1 species
AUUUUAAAAAUGGAUAUAAGAAUUUUGGAGGAAGAAAACAUAGAAGAAAAGAAUAUUCAUAAACAAACUAAAUCGCUGGUUUCUGCAGAUUUUAAUACAGGAUUGCAGUGCUUAGAGGAGCUUUGCAAGAAAGCAGAUAUAAGUGAUGAGAAAUAUUUGAUACUGAAAUCUAAAUAUGUAAAGCUACUAAAUUCAUAUGAGGCAGCUACUGAGAUGGAAAAAAUAUAUAUUAAUGAGGGAAUUAAAUUAUUAGAAAUAAUUGAAAAACAAACCGCAGAACUUCAAAAAAGUGAACAGUUUCCUUUUGAUGAUGAUAGUGAAGUGAAUAAACUGCGCUGCACUUAUUUAAAGUACAAUAAUGAACUCGCUGCUAGCACAGAACGCAUGAUUAAUAUGGAAUAUCAAUUAGAAUCCUUACUUGAAGAAAAAAAGGUUCUUCAACAAGAAGUUUUUAGAAUGCCAAAUCAAGAAGAGGUAGAUGCAUGUGUAAUAAAAUACAAAGAUGAAGUUGAAAGUCUUAGACAAGAAGUUAAUCAAAGAGCUAAUGAGUGUAAACAUUUAAAUGAAGAAGGCAUGACUAAGUCUAAUCGAAUUAUGGUUUUACAAAAAGAAAUGGAAAAUAUAGGAAAAGAGGAGUUAGAUCAAAAGGAGGAGUUAAUACGCAUGCAUAAUGAUCAUUUAUCUAAAAAGUCAGAACUGAUCAUUGGAAAAUUGAGAAAAACAUCUGAGAAAGCUAAGCUUUGUGAUAUUGCUGUACAGGAAAUCAAUAUUGGAAUUUCUGAAAUGAUUGACAGAGUUGCUGCUCUUGAUAAAGAAAAGGAGAACCUGAUUGUAGUUUUAGAACAGCUUCAAGAAACAUGUCAAAAAAAGGAAAAAGAAGCUGAUCUUCUUGUAAAGGAAUAUGAGUUUGGAAAAGAUCACCAAGCUGAGCUACUUGGCGAUAGAGUUACAUUAGAUUUAAAAAUAAUGCAUUUAGCUAUGGAAUUGAAAACGGAGUCCAGAUUAAAUGCAAGAAAAUCAAAAGAGAGAGAUAAGGAAUUAAAACACUUGAAAAAAGCUGAGCUUCAAUUGAGUGCAAUAGAAGAUAGUUUUGCUCAAACAAAGUUGUUGUUGAAUGAUGUAAAAUUGCAGACAUCAAUAGAAAAUAAAGAUUCUUUAAUUGAAAAACGCUUAAAUUUACAAAAAGAAGUAGAGAUUGUGAAAAAGGCUUUUACAAAUCAGAAAACAUUGACAGCUUUAGAAAAACAGAAGUUUGAAAUAAUUAAUCAGACAGAAAGUUUAUAUUUGAUGGAGUUAACUCAGCUUCGUAGUGACAUAGCUGAUUUGACAAGACUUGCACAGAUAAAAGUAGACAGUAGAGAGCAGAAAAUAAGAGAUUAUCAAAAAGCUGAACUCAGACAUAACAAGAUGAAAAAAGAGCUUAGAUUAAAGGAACUUUCUGUUCAUGAUCAUGCUAAAAUGUACUCUGAUGUUCAUAGAAGGCUGGGAGACUUUUCUAAAUUGUAUAAUAUUAUUAAAAAUGAAAGAAACAAGUUUGUCAACCUGUUCCAAACAAGCACUCAAUGCGCUGCAGAGUUGCAAGAGAAGGCAAAGGUUUUGCAAAAUGAAGUUGAAAUGCUCAGAAAUUCUGCUGUUGAAAAAGAGAGGCAGUUCCAAAAGUCUAAACAAGUGCUAUUAAAUGAUACAAUAAUACGAGACAAUAUUCGAAAAGAUAUUUGCAAACAACAAGUGAAGACUAAUUUAUUAAAAGAGAAAUCAGAACAACAGAAGAUAUCCAUUUUGGCAUUAAACAACAUGAUUCAAAUAGCUGAAGGUGAUCUUGUAGAACUAAAAGAUCGUUAUGAGUAUUCAGUUCAAGAACGAAAUAAUAGAGGUUUACAAUUAAUUGAAAGAAACGAAGAGGUAUGUGCACUAUAUGAAAAAGAAAACAUUCAAAAAAAUUUGAUUAAGAAUAUAGACUCUAUGCUUCAUGAUUGUGAAGAAGAGUUCAACUUUUUAAAAACAGAGUCUGAAGAUUUCAAACGCUCUAUUUCUAUACUGAAGUCCAUUGUUCCAAAGAAGAAUAUUUUAAAUGAUGAGCUUUCAUUUUUACAGUUGCAACUUGCUCAAACUCAAAAAAAAAUUUUGAAUAUAGAAGAAACAUUAGAGAAUCCUUUAAAUUCUGGACAUAUAAGGCUAUUGCCUGGCCAUGAACCAUCUUCAGAAGAGUUGUUAAAGAAAAUUGAGGGGGUAUUGAUAUUUUAUUUUUUAUGCUCGAACUCAAGCUAUUUGAUGUUGAAGAGAAACUUAAAGAAAAAAAUUUAAUCUAUGAACAAUUGAAAAAAAUUGUUAGCAAAGAACAAAAUUUAGCUGAAAAAGAAGAUUCUAUUAAUCUUGCUAGAAAAGUUAGCGAUGUGCAAGUGAAAAUUAAAGAAGCUACACGCAAAAUGAUGGCAAUUGUUUCAGAACUAUCUAUGAAUCAAGCUUUAUCAAUGAAAUAUCAUCAAGAGGUUAAAGAAAAAGAAGCGUUUCUGCAACAAUGUCGAACACGAUUAGAACAAGGAAUUGCACCUUACGAUAAUGCUGAACAAGAUUGGCUUCGAUAUUUGAAAGAUGAAGAGAGA